rnacentral:rRNA from 1 species
UACGGAGGGUGCAAGCGUUAAUCGGAAUUACUGGGCGUAAAGCGUGCGCAGGCGGUUUGUUAAGUCUGCUGUGAAAUCCCCGAGCUCAACUUGGGAAUUGCAGUGGAUACUGGCAGGCUGGAGUAUGGUAGAGGAAGGUGGAAUUCCCGGUGUAGCAGUGAAAUGCGUAGAGAUCGGGAGGAACACCAGUGGCGAAAGCGGCUCACUGGACCAUUACUGACGCUGAGGCACGAAAGCUAGGGGAGCAAACAGG